GACGAACGCUGGCGGCGUGCCUAAUACAUGCAAGUCGAACGCAGUGGGGACGGGUGAGUAACACGUGGGUAACCUCCCAUCAGAGGGGAUAACACUUGGAAACAGGUGCUAAACCGAUACUGAUGGAUGGACCCGCGGUGCAUUAGCGAGGUGGUGAGGUAACGGCUCACCAAGGCCACGAUGCAUAGCCGACUGGGGAGGGUGAGCGGCCACACUGGGACGGAGACACGGCCCAGACUCCUACGGGAGGCAGCAGUAGUGAAUCGUCAGCAAUGGACGAAAGUCUGACAGAGAAACGCAGCGUGAGUGAAGAAGGUUUUCGGAUCGGAAAACUCUGUUGUUAGAGAAUCGGUAUCUAACCAGAAAGCCACGGCUAACUACGUGCCAGCAGCCGCGGUAAUUC
rnacentral:rRNA from 1 species